rnacentral:rRNA from 1 species
UACGGAGGGUGCGAGCGUUGUCCGGAAUUACUGGGCGUAAAGAGCUCGUAGGCGGUCUGUCGCGUCGGCUGUGAAAAACCCGGAGCUCAACUCCGGGCCUGCAGUCGAUACGGGCAGACUGGAGUUCGGCAGGGGAGACUGGAAUUCCUGGUGUAGCGGUGAAAUGCGCAGAUAUCAGGAGGAACACCGGUGGCGGAAGGCGGGUCUCUGGGCCGAUACUGACGCUGAGGAGCGAAAGCGUGGGGAGCGAACAGG